rfam:Oryza barthii chromosome 12, whole genome shotgun sequence.
UGGUCGAUGCCCGAGCGGUUAAUGGGGACGGACUGUAAAUUCGUUGACGAUAUGUCUACGCUGGUUCAAAUCCAGCUCGACCCA